rnacentral:rRNA from 1 species
AGGACGAACGCUUGCGAUGUGCCUAAGAAAUGCAAGUCGAACGGAUCAGCAGCAAUGCUGGUUAGUGGCGAACGGUCGCGUAACACGUGGGCAACCUGCCCUGAAGCGGGGGACAACAACUCGAAAGAGUUGCUAAUACCGCAUGUGAAUCGCUGUGGCAUCACAGAGGAUUCAAAGCCGCAAGGCACUUCAGGAUGGGCCCGCGGCCUAUCAGCUUGUUGGUGAGGUAACGGCUCACCAAGGCUUCGACGGGUAGCUGGUCUGAGAGGACGAUCAGCCGGAUUGGGACUGAGAUACGGCCCAGACUCCUACGGGGGGCAGCAAUUAGGAAUCUUGCACAAUGGGCGAAAGCCUGAUGCAGCGACGUCGCGUGAAGGAUGAAAUCUUUCGGGAUGUAAACUUCUUUACCAGGGAAGAAAUAAUGACGGUACCUGGUGAAUAAGCCCGGCUAACUACGUGCCAGCAGCCGC